rnacentral:rRNA from 1 species
GACGAACGCUGGCGGCGUGCUUAACACAUGCAAGUCGAACGGGCCCGCUCUCUUUUUUGGGGGUGGGUUGAGUGGCGAACGGGUGAGUAUCACGUGAGUAACCUGCCCCCUGCUCCUGGAUAACUGCUUGAAAGGGCGGCUAAUACGGGGUGUGCCGGCUGGUCCGCAUGGGCCUGGUCGGGAUAGUUUCAUCUUCGGGUGUUUCGGUGGGGGAUGGGCUCGCGGCCUAUCAGCUUGUUGGUGGGGUGAUGGCCCACCAAGGCGGUGACGGGUAGCCGGCCUGAGAGGGUGGGCGGCCACACUGGGACUGAGACACGGCCCAGACUCCUGCGGGAGGCAGCAGUGGGGGGUAUUGCACAAUGGGCGGAAGCCUGAUGCAGCGACGUCGCGGGAGGGAUGGAGGCCUUCGGGUUGUGAACCUCUUUCUCCGGUGGUGAAGGCCCUGUCCGUUGCGGCGGGGUUGACGGUAGCCGGGUAUGAAGCGCCGGCUAACUACGUG